AACGUAGGUACCGAACGUUAUCCGGAUUUACUGGGCGUAAAGCGUGUUCAGGCGGCCUGGCAAGUCGGGCAUGAAAUCUCUCGGCUCAACCGGGAGAGGCUGUCCGAUACUGCUGGGCUUGAGGACGGUAGAGGGUGGUGGAAUUCCGCGUGUAGUGGUGAAAUGCGUAGAUAUGCGGAGGAACACCAGUGGCGAAGGCGGCCACCUGGACCGUCCCUGACGCUCAAACACGAAAGCUAGGGUAGCGAACGGG
rnacentral:rRNA from 1 species